GAAAUUGAUGAGACUGUCAUUAAAGUGAGAGGGUAAGCGCUAUAGAACCAGGUUUAAUCCACCAUUUUCUACAUUUGAAAAUGCCUAUACCAAGUCAGGAAUAUGACAGUUUUUGUCCAUUCGUUUUUGAUGCGUUUUGUUAUUUGAUUUUGCCAUGUGAUUAUGGACUUUCCCAAUUGAUCUUCCUCUAAGUUCAGUAUUUUUGUGAUUUUACUUU
rnacentral:lncRNA from 1 species